rnacentral:lncRNA from 1 species
CCCCCGAAGGUGCGGCAGCAACAGACGCGGUUGCUCAGGCUCGCGCGCCUCCUCCCGAGCCUCCUCCGCCGGCUGAACAUCCGGCACGUUGUCGACCGAUUCCUCGGCCGCCCUUCUCUCGUGCGAGGCUGCGCCCUCGCCCGACGAUCCCUCGGACGGGACUUCUACAAGCACCAUCAGUGCCGACAGUGCGAUGACCGACUCUGCCUCCGACCC